UCGAGAAUCUUCGGCAAUGGGCGCAAGCCUGACCGAGCGACGCCGCGUGCGGGAUGAAGGUCUUCGGAUUGUAAACCGCUGUCGGAGGGGAUGAAGUGUAUGGGAGCAAUCUCCUGUAUUUGACAGAGCCUCGGAGGAAGCACGGGCUAAGUUCGUGCCAGCAGCCGCGGUAAUACGAACUGUGCAAACGUUAUUCGGAAUCACUGGGCUUAAAGGGUGCGUAGGCGGUCGCACAAGUCAGGUGUGAAAUCCCCCGGCUCAACCGGGGAAUAGCGCUUGAAACUAGGUGACUUGAGUGAGGUAAGGGUACGCGGAACUUCUGGUGGAGCGGUGAAAUGUGUAGAUAUCAGAAGGAACGCCGGUGGCGAAAGCGGCGUACUGGGCCUUGUCUGACGCUGAGGCACGAAAGCUAGGGAAGUGAACG
rnacentral:rRNA from 1 species